CCUACGGGAGGCUGCAGUGGGGAAUAUUGGACAAUGGGCGAAAGCCUGAUCCAGCCAUGCCGCGUGUGUGAAGAAGGCCUUCGGGUUGUAAAGCACUUUCAGUGGGGAAGAAAGCCUUGGGGCUAAUACCCUCGAGGAAGGACAUCACCCACAGAAGAAGCACCGGCUAACUCCGUGCCAGCAGCCGCGGUAAUAUGGAGGGUGCGAGCGUUAAUCGGAAUUACUGGGCGUAAAGCGCGCGUAGGCGGUCUGAUAAGCCGGUUGUGAAAGCCCCGGGCUCAACCUGGGAACGGCAUCCGGAACUGUCAGGCUAGAGUGCAGGAGAGGAAGGUAGAAUUCCCGGUGUAGCGGUGAAAUGCGUAGAGAUCGGGAGGAAUACCAGUGGCGAAGGCGGCCUUCUGGACUGACACUGACGCUGAGGUGCGAAAGCGUGGGUAGCAAACAGGAUUAGAUACCCCAGUAGUC
rnacentral:rRNA from 1 species